GCUUUCUUGUAAAACUAUGGGGGCCUCUUAGAGGUAUAGCAAGAGAAUUUAAAGGGGCCUUACAGAUUUAUAGAGGCCUAAUAAUUCUACAACAGUCCCCCCUAAAAUGUUAUUUGCUAAAAGACAAAACUUUAUUUGUUAGUAUCGGAAGAUGUGUUAGCCCAAAGACACAGAAACCCCAUGACCGCUGACUUAGUGUUAAUGCAAAGUGCAAGUCUAUCCC